ACCCGCUGAACUUAAGCAUAUCAAUAAGCGGAGGAAAAGAAACCAACAGGGAUUGCCUCAGUAACGGCGAGUGAAGCGGCAAAAGCUCAAAUUUGAAAUCUGGCUCUUUCAGGGUCCGAGUUGUAAUUUGUAGAAGAUGCUUCGGGUGUGGUCCCGGUCUAAGUUCCUUGAAACAGGACGUCAUAGAGGGUGAGAAUCCCGUAUGUGACUGGGUACCUACGCUCAUGUGAAGCUCUUUCGACGAGUCGAGUUGUUUGGGAAUGCAGCUCAAAAUGGGUGGUAAAUUUCAUCUAAAGCUAAAUAUUGGCCAGAGACCGAUAGCGCACAAGUAGAGUGAUCGAAAGAUGAAAAGCACUUUGGAAAGAGAGUUAAACAGUACGUGAAAUUGUUGAAAGGGAAGCGCUUGCAAUCAGACUUGCGUCUAGUCGAUCAUCCGGGCUUCUGCCCGGUGCACUCGAUUAGGCUCAGGCCAGCAUCGGUUUGGGUGGUUGGAUAAAGGCUUGGGGAACGUAGCCUCCUUCGGGGGGUGUUAUAGCCCCAGGUGCAAUGCAGCCUACCUGGACCGAGGACCGCGCUUCGGCUAGGAUGCUGGCGUAAUGGUUGU
rnacentral:rRNA from 1 species